GCCCUGCUGGCGCAAUUGGCUAGCGCAUAAGACUUCUAUUCCUUGAACAUCUUAAGGUUGUGGGUUCGAGUCCCACGUGGGGUG